AGAGCGACGCCUCGUCAAUCCAACCGCGCCAGCGCCAGCGCCGCACAUCUCCCCGACUCCCUUUUUUUUCGUUUUUUUUUUCUUUCUUUUUACAAACGCGAUACGACGUCUGUGUGAGUCUGUUCGUCUCCUCUCGCCAUCACUCGCCGGGACACCGUGGCGUCUACUCCUGCCGCUCAGCGCCUUGUCGAGAUCGUCCCGUCCUGGCCAGCAAACUGCCGCUGCUGUUGGUCGCCCUAGCUAGCCGCCGGCAGCACCGCAGCACUGCAGGUCUGCAACGGCACGGCGGCAGCGCCCAGCGGGCAGCCGGAGUACUACUACUACAGCCUACAGGCAACCAGCAACCUGCAGCCGAGCAAGCAAACUGCAUUGCACAAGCAGUCAAGCACAAGCAAGAGACUAAAGAGUAAAAGAUAGAUUUAAUGAUUUAUAUAAGCUAGGGAAGAACUGAAAGUUUCUCUGGAAGGGACAAGGACAUCUGUUGUCCUGUAGUCAUCAGUCCAUCAAGGCAUCAACCAUCACUUAGUAAAAUUGUUAUAGACAAGUACCUUGAGGAAAGCGCUCGAUAGUUCCAAUAAUGCAGCUGUACGGAAUUCUUGUCCAGAACAAGUCGAUGAUGGUAGUUGGGAGAACGAGAUUGAAUAUGAUCCAGGCUUGAGAAAAGAGAUUGAUGAUUACCAUCCUAGUAAGAGGGAUAUAGUCAGAAGGAAAUACUUGCAGAAAGGGCCUUGCCAACCAUGUCUAUUCACUUUUCCGGUUACAAAGAUCUCAGGUAAAGACAGAAAGUUUAUUGAGGAAUGGUUUGAUGAAUUUGGAAGUUGGCUUGAAUAUAACAAGGCAAAAGACAGAGAAUGUUGUUUUAGAGAUCGCAAUAAGAAAGAGGAUGGGUAUAAAGCCUUUGUGGUUGAUGGUUGGAAUGGUUGGCAUAGAAAAAGUAGGCUAAAAGAGCAUGUUAGUGGUGUUGGUAGCUUACAUAAUCAAGCCAUGAAAAAUUGUGAUGCUUUGUUGCAAAGAGCCCAACACAUCGAUAUACAUAUGCAAGUGCAAAGCGAAGCUACUAAAAAUGCAUAUUUUGUUCGAUUAAAUGGAUCAAUUAAUGUUGCUAGGAGGUUGUUAAGCUAGGUUUGCCUUUUCGGGGCCAUGAUGAAUCAAGUGAUUCAUACAACAAAGGCAAUUUCUUAGAGUUUCGUGAUUUCUUAGCAGAGCAUGAUGUUGCUUUAGGCAAGGUAGUGGAGAAAAAAAUGCAUCGAAGAAUUGUCUUAUGAUAGCUCCUGAGAUUCAAAAGGAUAUUGUUGACUGCUUUGCCAAAGAAAUAUUACAUUCCAUUUUGGAAGAACUUGGCCAUGAUGUGUUUUGCUUGCUAAUUGAUGAGUCAAUAGAUAGUUCUUGUAAAGAGCAAAUGGCCGUGGUGUUGAGGUACGUUGAUAAAUGUGGAAUUGUGAAAGAAAGGUUUGUUGCUGUUGUUCAUGUGAGGGAAACAACGGCCUCAUACCUCAAGGCUUCUAUUGAUGCUCUAAUGGCAGAUUUUAAUCUAAGCUUGAGUCAAGUAAGAGGCCAAGGAUAUGAUGGGGCUAGUAAUAUGCGAGGUGAAUAUAAUGGGCUACAAUCACUAGUCAUGAGAGAGUACUUCAGCUUAUUAUGUCCAUUGCUUCGCCCACCAACUUCAGUUAGUAGUUGUGGCUAUUGUGAGUAUGAUUUCUACCUUGUUAAAUGUGGUUGGUGGUUCAGCUAAGAGACAGGACAUGGUUAGAGACAUCAAUGAUGAGCAUGUGAGCAAAGCAUUAGGUUGUGGGCUACUUCAAAGUGGAAAAGGGUUGAACCAAGAGCAAUGUCUUCAAAGGCCAUGAGAUACUCGUUGGAGUUCUCCUUACAAAACUCUCAAAAUUUUGGUAGAUAUGUUCCCAACAAUUGUUGAAGUGUUAGAAUUUGUAGAAGAGGAUGAUAGGGAUAGAGCAAACAGAGAUCAAGCGGCGGGUCUUUUAGUAUAUUUCUAGUCUUUUGACUUUGUCUUUUA